rnacentral:rRNA from 1 species
UGCUAAUCUGCGAUAAGCGUCGGUAAGGUGAUAUGAACCGUUAUAACCGGCGAUUUCCGAAUGGGGAAACCCAGUGUGUUUCGACACACUAUCAUUAACUGAAUCCAUAGGUUAAUGAGGCGAACCGGGGGAACUGAAACAUCUAAGUACCCCGAGGAAAAGAAAUCAACCGAGAUUCCCCCAGUAGCGGCGAGCGAACGGGGAGCAGCCCAGAGCCUGAAUCAGUGUGUGUGUUAGUGGAAGCGUCUGGAAAGGCGCGCGAUACAGGGUGACAGCCCCGUACACAAAAAUGCACAUGCUGUGAGCUCGAUGAGUAGGGCGGGACACGUGGUAUCCUGUCUGAAUAUGGGGGGACCAUCCUCCAAGGCUAAAUACUCCUGACUGACCGAUAGUGAACCAGUACCGUGAGGGAAAGGCGAAAAGAACCCCGGCGAGGGGAGUGAAAAAGAACCUGAAACCGUGUACGUACAAGCAGUGGGAGCACGCUUAGGCGUGUGACUGCGUACCUUUUGUAUAAUGGGUCAGCGACUUAUAUUCUGUAGCAAGGUUAACCGAAUAGGGGAGCCGAAGGGAAACCGAGUCUUAACUGGGCGUUAAGUUGCAGGGUAUAGACCCGAAACCCGGUGAUCUAGCCAUGGGCAGGUUGAAGGUUGGGUAACACUAACUGGAGGACCGAACCGACUAAUGUUGAAAAAUUAGCGGAUGACUUGUGGCUGGGGGUGAAAGGCCAAUCAAACCGGGAGAUAGCUGGUUCUCCCCGAAAGCUAUUUAGGUAGCGCCUCGUGAAUUCAUCUCCGGGGGUAGAGCACUGUUUCGGCAAGGGGGUCAUCCCGACUUACCAACCCGAUGCAAACUGCGAAUACCGGAGAAUGUUAUCACGGGAGACACACGGCGGGUGCUAACGUCCGUCGUGAAGAGGGAAACAACCCAGACCGCCAGCUAAGGUCCCAAAGUCAUGGUUAAGUGGGAAACGAUGUGGGAAGGCCCAGACAGCCAGGAUGUUGGCUUAGAAGCAGCCAUCAUUUAAAGAAAGCGUAAUAGCUCACUGGUCGAGUCGGCCUGCGCGGAAGAUGUAACGGGGCUAAACCAUGCACCGAAGCUGCGGCAGCGACGCUGAUGCGUUGUUGGGUAGGGGAGCGUUCUGUAAGCCUGCGAAGGUGUGCUGUGAGGCAUGCUGG